rnacentral:lncRNA from 1 species
UUCUAGAUUGGUCAAGUUCAGGCCAUGAGUCAACUUCCACUUCAGGCUUGCUAGUGUUCCAAUUUCCCUAAACGAUAUUAUAUAGUUGAUACAAACCUCUCAGGGAUAUUGGCAACAUCUUAAUAAUAUGAAUAUGUUCAAAAUUCCCUAAAGCGAUACUAACCUCUCACAGAUAUGGGCAACAUCUUAAUAAUAUAAAUGUGUUCCAAUUUCCCUAAACAACAUUACGUAGUCGGUCCAGCUGCCUCUUCUCCUCGGCGAUCACCAGUGCCUCGGCCAGCCGGCUGCUAUCGCGUGC